rnacentral:lncRNA from 1 species
UUGGAUGCGUCUGCAAUAUAGUCUUCCUAUUUCGCAAAAAGAAUUCUGUAAAAGAGAGAAUAGAAGAUUAAGAGGUACGUAUUUAUUUAAAUUUAAUAUUUAAUGUAAUAUAUAUUUUUAACUUUAUAUUUACUGACUUAUUAAUUUCAGGAGGAGGUGAACGUACCAGUUAUAAAGCGAAUAUGUAUGAUUACUUGGAACAAAGAAGGGGAAGAACAUUUAAAUCCGCUAAACGUUCAAGCGAAGGUCGCAAAUUUGGAAAAUGUAAAAAUAAAUAGAAAAAUGAAAAUAUAUGUAAUGAGUUAGUAUUUUAA